rnacentral:lncRNA from 1 species
UGAAAUAUUGUUAUACAUUUAUUGUAAUACAAUUAAGUAUUUGUGCAAAUAUCUGAUGGGCAAUGCAGCCUGUAAAAUGAAAGCAUACUUUUUUUUACUAAUUAGCUUAAAAUUUGAGAUCACUUUCUUUAAUUUGUUGGUUUAAUGCACAGCAAUUUGAACACAUCAUUUGAUUUUAUAAAAUAGAGGUAAAAGUUACUUGUCAAUAUGAUAAUGACGGCUAUUCCAUUUUAAUUUUAGAUAGGUUCAUCAUAUCAGAGCAUGUUCAUUUUGGAUCAGAUCUUUUCACCAUUCUGGACAGCAACAUUUUAUUAAAAGAUCAUGAAAAAAUUUAAUACGUUUUCUAUGUGCUAGUCAUCUAAAUAUAAAAAACCCUGAUUCAAUGUUGGUUGGGGCUGCAUUGAUCUUUAGGGAAUUAAACUAAUUAGUUCUUUGCAAGAACUCGAGAAACUGAAAAGAUGAAAAUCAACAAUUUAUUUGCCAAUUCUGUGCUAUAUUGGUCCAUUUCUAAUAUUUCAUUUUAGUUUUUUAAAGCAAUUGCUUUUAUGCCAUCGCGUAUAACCAUCUUUGUGACCCAGAUCAGAGACUCCGCCCAGAUCAAGCCAUAGUAUUUUGUUAAACAGGCUCCUGGUCAGUCAUUCUUUAACACCUAUGUAUGUUUUCUAAUGCAAUACAUAGCUUGAAACUUUAAAAAAAAGUUAGUGAAUUUAAGAAGUUUCAGAAUAUGUUCUUGAAGAUGUAUUUUUGUAUUUAAAGGGUCAACCGUUUGACUAUCAAAUAACAUAGAAGUACGAGUGAAAAAAAGUACAUUUUUAUAAAUGCGAUUCCGUUUUCCGCCGUUCGUACGAUGUUUCAACAAAAUAUGGAUUCAUUUCAGUUGUUGAUUUAGUAUUGAAAAUUUAACUGAAUUAUCUCCUAAUAAAUACGGUUUUUUAUGUUUAAUUUGUGUUUCUUUAAGAGGUCAGGUGC